UGGCUCAGUGGUUAAGAGCACUGACUGCAUUUCCAGAGAUCCUGAGUUCAAAUCUCAG
rnacentral:tRNA from 1 species